AAAAUAUCCUCAUAAGUUAGACGAUAAGAGGUACCAUAUUUUUAUUUAAGUUUAAAGUUUAAUAUUUAAGUUUAUUUUGUAAACUUAUUGCUUAACUAAAAAAAAACUUUUUUAAAUAGGUGGUGGCACAAAAUCGGAGGCCCCGACUGUUUACUAAAAACACAACACAGUGCAAUCAUAAAUGUGAUAGUAUACUGUGUGAAAUUUGCCCAAUGCCAUUAAUAUAAAAGCGGUCAUAUUAGAGUGUGACUAAUUGAAAAUCUGGUUAAUAGCGGUCUUAACCAUGAGGAUCCUAAGGUAGCAAAAUAGAUUGGCCAUUAAAUGUGGUCCGGUAUCAAUAAUGUAACGAUGGCCUCACUGUCUCUACAACUUGCUCAGUGAAAUUGAAUUACGCGUGCAGAUGCGCGUUACCUCCAGUGGGACGGGAAGACCCUAUGCG
rnacentral:rRNA from 1 species